rnacentral:rRNA from 1 species
AGUGAACGCUGGCGGCAGGCCUAAUACAUGCAAGUCGAACGGCAGCACAGUGGAGCUUGCUCCAUGGGUGGCGAGUGGCGGACGGGUGAGGAAUACAUGGGAAUCUGCCCAGUCGUGGGGGAUAACGUAGGGAAACUUACGCUAAUACCGCAUGCGCCCUUCGGGGGAAAGCCGGGGACCUUCGGGCAUGGCGCGAGUGGAGGAGCCCAGGUUCGCUGUGCUAGUUGGCGUGGUAAAGGCCCACCAAGGCGACGAUCGAUAGCUGGUCUGAGAGGAUGAUCAGCCACACUGGGACUGAGACACGGCCCCGACUCCUACGGGAGGCAGCAGUAGGGAAUAUUGGACAAUGGGCGCGAGCCUGAUCCAGCCAUGCCGCGUGAGUGAAGAAGGCCCUCGGGUUGUAAAGCUCUUUUGUCCGGAAAGAAAAGCGUUGGGUUAAUCCCCCGGCGUCCUGACGGUACCGGAAGAAUAAGCACCGGCUAACUUCGUGCCAGCAGCCGCCGUAACAC